rnacentral:rRNA from 1 species
UACGGGGGGGGUAAGCGUUGUUCGGAAUUACUGGGCGUAAAGGGCUCGUAGGCGGCCAACUAAGUCGGACGUGAAAUCCCUCAGCUUAACCGGGGAACUGCGUCUGAUACUGGAUGGCUUGAGUUUGGGAGAGGGAUGCGGAAUUCCAGGUGUAGCGGUGAAAUGCGUAGAUAUCUGGAGGAACACCCGUGGCGAAGGCGGUUCUCUGGGACGGUACUGACGCUGAGACGCGAAAGCGUGGGGAGCGAACAGG